rnacentral:rRNA from 1 species
GUUGUAUAGUCAAGUAAUUAAGUGCAUGUGGUGGAUGCCUUGGCAGUCAGAGGCGAUGAAAGACGUGAUAGCCUGCGAAAAGCUCCGGGGAGGCGGCAAAUAUCCUUUGAUCCGGAGAUGUCUGAAUGGGGGAACCCACCUACUUUAAGGUAGGUAUUGCAACAUGAAUACAUAGUGUUGCAAGGCGAACGAGGGGAAGUGAAACAUCUCAGUACCCUUAGGAAAAGAAAUCAAUUGAGAUUCCCUCAGUAGCGGCGAGCGAACGGGGAUCAGCCCAUUAAGUUAUGUGUGUUUUAGUGGAACGCUCUGGGAAGUGCGAACGUAGAGGGUGAUAUUCCCGUACACGAAAGGGCACACAUAAUGAUGACGAGUAGGGCGAGGCACGUGAAACCUUGUCUGAAUAUGGGGGGACCAUCCUCCAAGGCUAAAUACUCCUGACUGACCGAUAGUGAACCAGUACCGUGAGGGAAAGGCGAAAAGAACCCCUGUGAGGGGAGUGAAAUAGAUCCUGAAACCGCAUGCAUACAAGCAGUGGGAGCACCUUCGUGGUGUGACUGCGUACCUUUUGUAUAAUGGGUCAGCGACUUAUAUUCAGUAGCAAGGUUAACCGUAUAGGGGAGCCGUAGAGAAAUCGAGUCUUAAUAGGGCGUUUAGUUGCUGGGUAUAGACCCGAAACCAGGCGAUCUAU